CGUGUCUUUCCACAUGAAGAAGUGAAUGCAUACGGAAAGAGAGUGGUUUAUCUUCUAUUAGAUAAAGGUCAAAUAAGUUGGCAGAACAGUUUGUGUCGAAUUUGUGGUAGUGAAAUUGGUCCAAAAACUAGAAAAAAU
rnacentral:lncRNA from 1 species